GAUGAACGCUGGCGGCGUGCUUAACACAUGCAAGUCGAGCGAAGCACUUUCGAUGAUCCUUCGGGUGAUUUGAUUGUGACUGAGCGGCGGACGGGUGAGUAACGCGUGAGUAACCUGCCUCAUACAGGGGAAUAACAGUUAGAAAUGACUGCUAAUGCCGCAUAAGCGCACAGGGCCGCAUGGCCCGGUGUGAAAAACUCCGGUGGUAUGAGAUGGACUCGCGUCUGAUUAGCUAGUUGGCAGGGUAACGGCCUACCAAGGCGACGAUCAGUAGCCGGCCUGAGAGGGUGAACGGCCACAUUGGGACUGAGACACGGCCCAAACUCCUACGGGAGGCAGCAGUGGGGAAUAUUGCACAAUGGGGGAAACCCUGAUGCAGCGACGCCGCGUGAGUGAAGAAGUAUUUCGGUAUGUAAAGCUCUAUCAGCAGGGAAGAAAAUGACGGUA
rnacentral:rRNA from 1 species